rnacentral:rRNA from 1 species
GUUGGAGCAUGUGGUUUAAUUCGAUGCAACGCGAAGAACCUUACCAAUCCUUGACAUCCACGGAAUCUUUGAGAGAUCAGAGAGUGCCUUCGGGAACCGUGAGACAGGUGCUGCAUGGCUGUCGUCAGCUCGUGUUGUGAAAUGUUGGGUUAAGUCCCGUAACGAGCGCAACCCUUAUCCUUAGUUGCUACCAUUAAGUUGAGGACUCUAAGGAGACUGCCGGUGACAAACCGGAGGAAAGUGGGGACGACGUCAAGUCAUCAUGGCCCUUACGGAUUGGGCUACACACGUGCUACAAUGGGGUAUACAGAGGGUUGCGGAGCCGCGAGGUGGAGCGAAUCCCAGAAAGUACCUCGUAGUCCGGAUUGGAGUCUGCAACUCGACUCCAUGAAGUCGGAAUCGCUAGUAAUCGCGGAUCAGAAUGCCGCGGUGAAUACGUUCCCGGGCCUUGUACACACCGCCCGUCACACCAUGGGAGUGGGUUGCACCAGAAGUAGCUAGCUUAACAUUGGGCGGUUACCACGGUGUGAUUCAUGACUGGGUGAAGUCGUAACAAGGUAGCC